UGAGAUCAUUCUGAAAUCACGAU
rnacentral:miRNA from 1 species